rnacentral:rRNA from 2 species
UGGGGAAUAUUGCGCAAUGGGGGAAACCCUGACGCAGCAACGCCGCGUGAAGGAUGAAGGUUUUCGGAUUGUAAACUUCUUUGAUGAGGGACGAACACAAUGACGGUACCUCAAAAACAAGCCACGGCUAACUACGUGCCAGCAGCCGCGGUAAUACGUAGGUGGCGAGCGUUGUCCGGAAUUACUGGGUGUAAAGGGCGUGUAGGCGGGAAAGCAAGUCAGAUGUGAAAUACCGGGGCUUAACUCCGGGGCUGCAUCUGAAACUGUAUCUCUUGAGUGCUGGAGAGGAAAGCGGAAUUCCUAGUGUAGCGGUGAAAUGCGUAGAUAUUAGGAGGAACACCAGUGGCGAAGGCGGCUUUCUGGACGACAACUGACGCUGAGGCGCGAAAGCGUGGGGAGCAAACAGG